rnacentral:tRNA from 1 species
GGGCCCAUAGCUCAGUUGGUUAGAGCAGCGGACUCAUAAUCCGUUGGUCGAAGGUUCAAGUCCUUCUGGGCCCA